AGGCCUAACACAUGCAAGUCGAGCGGUAGCACAGAGAGCUUGCUCUCGGGUGACGAGCGGCGGACGGGUGAGUAAUGUCUGGGAAACUGCCUGAUGGAGGGGGAUAACUACUGGAAACGGUAGCUAAUACCGCAUAACGUCGCAAGACCAAAGUGGGGGACCUUCGGGCCUCAUGCCAUCAGAUGUGCCCAGAUGGGAUUAGCUGGUAGGUGGGGUAACGGCUCACCUAGGCGACGAUCCCUAGCUGGUCUGAGAGGAUGACCAGCCACACUGGAACUGAGACACGGUCCAGACUCCUACGGGAGGCAGCAGUGGGGAAUAUUGCACAAUGGGCGCAAGCCUGAUGCAGCCAUGCCGCGUGUGUGAAGAAGGCCUUCGGGUUGUAAAGCACUUUCAGCGGGGAGGAAGGCGGUGAGGUUAAUAACCUUGUCGAUUGACGUUACCCGCAGAAGAAGCACCGGCUAACUCCGUGCCAGCAGCCGCGGUAAUACGGAGGGUGCAAGCGUUAAUCGGAAUUACUGGGCGUAAAGCGCACGCAGGCGGUCUGUCAAGUCGGAUGUGAAAUCCCCGGGCUCAACCUGGGAACUGCAUUCGAAACUGGCAGGCUAGAGUCUUGUAGAGGGGGGUAGAAUUCCAGGUGUAGCGGUGAAAUGCGUAGAGAUCUGGAGGAAUACCGGUGGCGAAGGCGGCCCCCUGGACAAAGACUGACGCUCAGGUGCGAAAGCGUGGGGAGCAAACAGGAUUAGAUACCCUGGUAGUCCACGCUGUAAACGAUGUCGAUUUGGAGGUUGUGCCCUUGAGGCGUGGCUUCCGGAGCUAACGCGUUAAAUCGACCGCCUGGGGAGUACGGCCGCAAGGUUAAAACUCAAAUGAAUUGACGGGGGCCCGCACAAGCGGUGGAGCAUGUGGUUUAAUUCGAUGCAACGCGAAGAACCUUACCUGGUCUUGACAUCCACAGAACUUUCCAGAGAUGGAUUGGUGCCUUCGGGAACUGUGAGACAGGUGCUGCAUGGCUGUCGUCAGCUCGUGUUGUGAAAUGUUGGGUUAAGUCCCGCAACGAGCGCAACCCUUAUCCUUUGUUGCCAGCGGUUAGGCCGGGAACUCAAAGGAGACUGCCAGUGAUAAACUGGAGGAAGGUGGGGAUGACGUCAAGUCAUCAUGGCCCUUACGACCAGGGCUACACACGUGCUACAAUGGCAUAUACAAAGAGAAGCGACCUCGCGAGAGCAAGCGGACCUCAUAAAGUAUGUCGUAGUCCGGAUUGGAGUCUGCAACUCGACUCCAUGAAGUCGGAAUCGCUAGUAAUCGUAGAUCAGAAUGCUACGGUGAAUACGUUCCCGGGCCUUGUACACACCGCCCGUCACACCAUGGGAGUGGGUUGCAAAAGAAGUAGGUAGCUUAACCUUCGGGAGGGCGCUUACCACUUUGUGAU
rnacentral:rRNA from 1 species